AUGCGGGAUGAACCGGAAGCCGG
rnacentral:snRNA from 1 species